AUCUAAAGAACAACAACGGUUGUUUGAUGAACAUUGGAAGACCUUCUGAUCAGAGACUGGAGCGCUGGUCCGGAGAGAGGAGGAUGUGGAGCCGGAGCUCGUCUGGGGGCCUCUCUGGCUUUUCGUCUGAGAUAAACACUACUUCACCUAAAAGACUUGAGUAUCCAGUUCUUCAUUGACCUUCAGCAUUCAGUUGUUUGUCUUCACCUUUUCAGGUAAGCAAUUUAAAAAAAAUGCUUCUGUAAUGUUGAGAAACACUGAAAUUAUUAUUUAUAAAGAACUUUCAACCACUGUUCUGUGAUGUCAUGUAUAGUGAUAUACAAAUAUAUUUGAAGGAACGGUGCAUUUGGGAUAAUCAAUAUUAUUAGUAUUAUUCGUGUAUUUAUUUAUUUUUAAAUCAGAGAAUAGGGGUAAAAUAGAUUCUUAGUACAAAAACUGGUAACUGGUAAAAAAAAAAUUGUAACAAUAAUGUUCAUUCAUUAAUUGAUGCUUGGUCAAACUCUCAUCUAAUUAAGUAUUGCUGUCUCAUUAACAUGUUGUAUUUAUUCAUUUUGUAGGCUAAAACCAGAGAAGCCAUCACCAUGUUGUUGUUUGUUGUCAUUAUGCAGAUUUUUCAGCAUGUGGUCCUCAAUAUAUAGUAUAGAAGUCACUGCAUUUUCUGACUUUUCCAGGUUUCCUGUGUCCAGCAUCUUCAAGACAGACUAAGCUAACUUUUCAUAUUUUUUGCACAUUUAUAUUUAGGUUAGGUUAGGAAUAGGUUAGGUUUAUAGUAGAGUAUUUAGUUUGUUUAGUUUAGCUUUUUAUGCUGGUCUAGGGACAGUUAAGUUAGCAAAUUAAUUUAGUUCAGAUCACUUACAAUUGCAUAUUAUUGUUACAAUUGUGUUAUUUUGUGAGUUAUUGUUGUACAGGCUAUUGUAUAUUGCAGAACCAAGUGAGACGAGGAAGACCACUGCUUCCAAGAUGCCGCUCAGAAAGUGCGUUGGACAAGUCUCGACCUUGCAGAUCCUGCCCCACUUAGCCCAACCACUUCCGACCAUGGGGUACCUCAAAGACCUCCGUCAACCAGCCGGCUGUGGAUGAUGGAUAACGGACCCACAACUCCUUCUCCAGUCUACAAGGUUCUGAAAAUACAGACACCCCCACAGUCCAAGAACAGCUGGAUGACCUCUGGACCCACUUGCCCCCGUUCACCAGUUGAAAAGAUAAGCUUUUUAAAAAAUACUUCAAUUGUUAAUUCUGCACAAAGUGAUACACAAAAAAUUGUCUGUAUUCCAUUUCAACAAACACGAACAUGAAAUGUAUAUUUAAAUACAUGACUUAAUGCAAGUCAAUCAUACUAAACAUCAUCUUUUUUUUUUGAACCAACCAUUGCACACACUUCCAUCCAAGGAGAGGUUACAUCUUG